GAUGAACGCUGGCGGCGUGCCUAAUACAUGCAAGUCGAGCGAACAGACGAGGAGCUUGCUCCUUUGACGUUAGCGGCGGACGGGUGAGUAACACGUGGAUAACCUACCUAUAAGACUGGGAUAACUUCGGGAAACCGGAGCUAAUACCGGAUAACAUGUUGAACCGCAUGGUUCAACAGUGAAAGACGGUCUUGCUGUCACUUAUAGAUGGAUCCGCGCCGCAUUAGCUAGUUGGUAAGGUAACGGCUUACCAAGGCAACGAUGCGUAGCCGACCUGAGAGGGUGAUCGGCCACACUGGAACUGAGACACGUUCCAGACUCCUACGGGAGGCAGCAGUAGGGAAUCUUCCGCAAUGGGCGAAAGCCUGACGGAGCAACGCCGCGUGAGUGAAGAAGGUCUUCGGAUCGUAAAACUCUGUUAGUAGGGAAGAACAAAUGUGUAAGUAACUAUGCACGUCUUGACGGUACCGAAUCAGAAAGCCACGGCUAACUACGUG
rnacentral:rRNA from 1 species